rnacentral:rRNA from 1 species
UGCCAGCCGCCGCGGUAAGACGGAGGGUGCUAGCGUUGUUCGGAAUCACUGGGCGUAAAGGGCGCGUAGGCGGCUUUGGCAGUCGGAUGUGAAAGCCCGGGGCUCAACUCCGGAGGUGCAUCCGAUACUCCAAGGCUGGAGGUCGGAAGAGGAGGGUGGAAUACCCAGUGUAGAGGUGAAAUUCGUAGAUAUUGGGUGGAACACCGGUGGCGAAAGCGGCUCUCUGGUCCGAACCUGACGCUGAGGCGCGAAAGCGUGGGGAGCAAACAGGAUUAGAUA